ACUUGACUUAAUUUAAGUCGAUCAAUAAUCACGGAAGAAGAAGGAGACAAUAUGGCGAGAUGUCAAAUUUGAAAUAAAAUAAACAAACAAGAAUCAAUGCCCAGUGGACUACAUGAAUUUUAAAUUUAAGAAGCCUGUAAGAGAUACACUUUAAGGGUCCCAGCAUUUUUGCGUUUCGAGAUGCCACUUGCCGCCUACAAAAACUCCAAGGAACGAUAAACACUCCUGUCUACCGUUAUAAAAAGCUAGGAAUGCAAAGGGAAUCUCUUCAAGGAAAACCCAUUUGGUGGACUAUACGAAUAUCCUUUUCCUUUUAACAUAAAAGAUCAAAUCUUAUCUAUACAGUGUGAUGUUAAUUUUAGAAUGAAAAUACAAAUUUUGAAUGGAUAGAGAUGUUUAAAGAAAUAGGAAAUAAAACCUUAUAA